ensembl:lncRNA
GGGAGGCCCCGCCCUCCUGGGGGGGCCCCCCGCACACAUCUCCAUGACAACCAGCAGACACAGGGCCGGGCCGCGCCCUAGAGCCAUGGUGGAGGAGCCCAACGACACCAGCCUCCGGUUCACUGGUUCACUGGUUCACUGGUUCUCUGGUUCACUGGUUCACUGGUUGGCUGGUUGACUGGUUCCCUUCAACAGGCUGCAGAACGCUCAGAGCUCCUGAUCUUCUGGUUCACUGGUUCUCUGGUUCACUGGUUGACUGGUUGACUGGUUCCCUUCAACAGGCUGCAGAACACUCAGAGCUCCUGGUCUUCUGGUUCACUGGUUUACUG